rnacentral:rRNA from 1 species
GAUGAACGCUAGCUACAGGCUUAACACAUGCAAGUCGAGGGACCGGCGCACGGGUGAGUAACACGUAUCCAACCUGCCCUUUACUCGGGGAUAGCCUUUCGAAAGAAAGAUUAAUACACGAUGUAAAGGAUGGGGAUGCGUUCCAUUAGGUUGUUGGUGAGGUAACGGCUCACCAAGCCUUCGAUGGAUAGGGGUUCUGAGAGGAAGGUCCCCCACAGUGGAACGUAGACUCUGUCCAAACUCCGACGGGAGGCAGCAGUGAGGAAUAUUGGUCAAUGGGCGUUAGCCUGAACCAGCCAAUUAGCGUGAAGGAUGAAGGCUUAUGGGUCGUAAACUUCUUUUAUAUACGAAUAUGUAUUAUAUGAAUAAGGAGCGGCUAACUCCGUGUCAGCAGCCGCGGUAAUAC